rnacentral:rRNA from 1 species
GACGAACGCUGGCGGCGUGCUUAACACAUGCAAGUCGAACGGAAAGGCCCCUUUGGGGGUACUCGAGUGGCGAACGGGUGAGUAACACGUGAGUAACCUGCCCUUGACUUCGGGAUAACUUCAGGAAACUGGGGCUAAUACCGGAUAGGAAUCCUUGCUGCAUGGUGGGGGUUGGAAAGCUUCGGCGGUUUUUGCUGGACUCGCGGCUUAUCAGCUUGUUGGUGGGGUAGUGGCUUACCAAGGCUUUGACGGGUAGCCGGCCUGCGAGGGCGACCGGCCACAUUGGGACUGAGGUACGGCCCAGACUGCGACGGGGGGGAGCAGGGGGGAAUAUUGCACGAUGGGCGGAAGCCGGAUGCAGCAAGGCCGCGUGCGGGAUGACGGCCUUCGGGUUGUAAACCGCUUUCAGCAGGAGCGAAGCUUGUGGUGACGGUACCUGAAGAGGAAGCACCGGCUAACUACGUG